AUUGAACGCUGGCGGCAGGCCUAACACAUGCAAGUCGAACGGUAGCACAGAGAGCUUGCUCUCGGGUGACGAGUGGCGGACGGGUGAGUAAUGUCUGGGAAACUGCCCGAUGGAGGGGGAUAACUACUGGAAACGGUAGCUAAUACCGCAUAACGUCGCAAGACCAAAGUGGGGGACCUUCGGGCCUCACACCAUCGGAUGUGCCCAGAUGGGAUUAGCUAGUAGGUGGGGUAAUGGCCCACCUAGGCGACGAUCCCUAGCUGGUCUGAGAGGAGGACCAGCCACACUGGAACUGAGACACGGUCCAGACUCCUACGGGAGGCAGCAGUGGGGAAUAUUGCACAAUGGGCGCAAGCCUGAUGCAGCCAUGCCGCGUGUAUGAAGAAGGCCUUCGGGUUGUAAAGUACUUUCAGCGGGGAGGAAGGCGGUGAAGUUAAUAGCUUCACCGAUUGACGUUACCCGCAGAAAAAGCACCGGCUAACUCCGUGCCAGCAGCCGCAGUAA
rnacentral:rRNA from 1 species